rnacentral:rRNA from 1 species
GACGAACGCUGGCGGCGUGCCUAAUACAUGCAAGUAGAACGCACAGUUUAUACCGUAGCUUGCUACACCAUAAACUGUGAGUUGCGAACGGGUGAGUAACGCGUAGGUAACCUACCUGGUAGCGGGGGAUAACUAUUGGAAACGAUAGCUAAUACCGCAUAAUAUUGAUUAUUGCAUGAUAAUUGAUUGAAAGAUGCUAUUGCAUCACUACCAGAUGGACCUGCGUUGUAUUAGCUAGUAGGUGAGGUAACGGCUCACCUAGGCGACGAUACAUAGCCGACCUGGGAGGGUGAUCGGCCACACUGGGACUGAGACACGGCCCAGACUCCUACGGGAGGCAGCAGUAGGGAAUCUUCGGCAAUGGACGAAAGUCUGACCGAGCAACGCCGCGUGAGUGAAGAAGGGUUUCGGAUCGUAAAGCUCUGUUGUAAGAGAAGAACGGGUGUGAGAGUGGAAAGUUCACACUGUGACGGUAUCUUACCAGAAAGGGACGGCUAACUACGUG